rnacentral:rRNA from 1 species
CCUACGGGAGGCAGCAGUAAGGAAUAUUGGACAAUGCUCGCAAGAGUGAUCCAGCCAUGCCGCGUGCAGGAAGACGGCCCUAUGGGUUGUAAACUGCUUUUGAACUAGAGAAAACCCUUCUACGUGUAGAAGGCUGAUAGUAUAGUUAGAAUAAGCAUCGGCUAACUUCGUGCCAGCAGCCGCGGUAAGACGAAGGAUGCAAGCGUUAUCCGGAUUCAUUGGGUUUAAAGGGAGCGUAGGUGGACUGAUAAGUCAGUGGUGAAAUCUCUCGGCUUAACCGAGAAAUUGCCAUUGAUACUGUUGGUCUUGAGUACAGUUGCUGUGGGCGGAAUAUGACAUGUAGUGGUGAAAUACAUAGAGAUGUCAUAGAACACCGAUUGCGAAGGCAGCUCACAAAGCUGUAACUGACACUGAGGCUCGAAAGUGCGGGGAUCAAACAGGAUUAGAUACCCUGGUAGUCCGCACUGUAAACGAUGAUUACUCGCUGCUGGGAGGUAACUUUCAGUGGCUUAGCGAAAGCGAUAAGUAAUCCACCUGGGGAGUACGCCGGCAACGGUUGAAACUCAAAGGAAUUGACGGCGNGAGAGNGCGACGGACGACGACGAGGGAGGAGG